ensembl:lncRNA
UGAUUAGAGCGUUGGACUAGUAACCAGCAGGUAACCUAGUGAUUAGAGCGUUGGACUAGUAACCAGCAGGUAACCUAGUGGUUAGAGCGUUGGACUAGUAACCAGCAGGUAACCUAGUGAUUAGAGCGUUGGACUAGUAACCAGCAGGUAACCUAGUGAUUAGAGCGUUGGACUAGUAACCAGCAGGUAACCUAGUGAUUAGAGCGUUGGACUAGUAACCAGCAGGUAACCUAGUGAUUAGAGCGUUGGACUAGUAACCGGAAGGUUGCAAGAGCGAAUCCCUGAGCUGACAAGGUAAAAAAAAAAAUCUGUUGUUCUGCCCCCUGAACAAGACAGUUAACCCACUGUUCCUAGGCUGUCAUUGAAAAUAAGAAUUUGUUCUUAACUAACUUUUGCCUAGUUAAAUAAAAAUUAAUUGCGAAGAGCGAUGUACCAUUUACACUAUAUUGUUCCCCUUUAUCAGCUGACAUCGUCAUAGAAACUGAGAACACAUCCUGCCUAAAGCCAGAUCUGAUAGUAACUGAAGUCGUCAGGUACAGAUGAAUGUCCACAACUACAUGAUUCCUCUUUAGACACGUCCUUAGUAAAGACAGUAUUUCAUUGCUGUUACUACUAGUUCUAGCCUGCUUCUCAGCAGAGAGAGAGAGAGCUGUUUGAGGCCACAACUCUCUCUCUCUCUCUCUCUCUCUCUGUCUCUCUGUCUCUCUGUGUCUCUCUGUGUCUCUGUCUGUGUCUCUCUGUGUCUCUCUGUGUCUCUCUGUGUCUCUCUGUGUCUCUCUGUGUCUGGUAGCUAGAUGGAAAGACAUGGGACCUUUUCUCUACAAGACUCCAGUAGUCUGACAAGGUAUUUAUCAUAAGUGGGUACAGAACAUUCUGCUCUUGCAGAAGAAACACAUCCUUCAUCAGUCUCGGGCGACUAAUAUUUUACCUUUUUGAUUUUAGCACCAUUAAGCUGAAAUUACCCACAAGACAACAAGAGGUCUCUACCUCCAUAUCUCUUAAUGAUAACCUGCUCACAAGACAACAAGAGGUCUCUACCUCCAUAUCUCUUAAUGAUAACCUGCUCACAAGACAACAAGAGGUCUCUACCUCCAUAUCUCUUAAUGAUAACCUGCUCACAAGACAACAAGAGGUCUGGGAAGAGGUCUCUACCUCCAUAUCUCUUAAUGAUAACCUGCUCACAAGACAACAAGAGGUCUCUACCUCCAUAUCUCUUAAUGAUAACCUGCUCACAAGACAACAAGAGGUCUGGGAAGAGGUCUCUACCUCCAUAUCUCUUAACGACGGCCUGCGCAGCUUCUAUAACCACAGCGGGAGGGUGGUCCUGUGUCUUUGCGAGGAUUUGGUUUCCUAUGGUUACCAUGGCAGCAAGACGCUCUGUUACCUCAUGCUCCAUAAUGAUGUCAGCAGGUGACUGUGGUCCAGAAUGAAACCCUAGUUUCUGUAGUCCACUGCCCUGUUCCAAAGUAGUGGACUUUAAAAUGAAGUAGGGUGCCAUUUCAGAUAUAUACAAUACACUGAACUGUGUUCAUAAUAUCCACUACAGUAGACUGUGUUCAUAACAGUAGACUGUGUUCAUAACAGUAGACUGUGUUCAUAACAGUAGACUGUGUUCAUAACAGGAGACUGUGUUCAUAAUGUCCACUACAGUAGACUGUGUUCAUAACAGUAGACUGUGUUCAUAAUGUCCAGUACAGUAGACUGUGUUCAUAAUGUCCACUACAGUAGACUGUGUUCAUAACAGUAGACUGUGUUCAUAAUGUCCAGUACAGUAGACUGUGUUCAUCACAGUAGACUGUGUUCACAAUGUCCAGUACAGUAGACUGUGUUCAUAACAGUAGACUGUGUUCAUCACAGUAGACUGUGUUCAUCACAGACUUUACAGUAGACUGUGUUCAUAAUGUCCAGUACAGUAGACUGUGUUCAUAAUGUCCAGUACAGUAGACUGUGUUCAUAACAGUAGACUGUGUUCAUAAUGUCCAGUACAGUAGACUGUGUUCAUAAUGUCCAGUACAGUAGACUGUGUUCAUAAUGUCCAGUACAGUAGACUGUGUUCAUAAUGUCCACUACAGUAGACUGUGUUCAUAAUGUCCAGUACAGUAGACUGUGUUCAUAACAGUAGACUGUGUUCAUAACAGUAGACUGUGUUCAUAUGUGUCAACGAGGGCCUCUGAAGUCCAUACCAACGAUCACAUGAUAAUUCCUCUAUGCUCUAUUUGAGGAAUCCUGUAGGAAUGUUGCAGUCCUCCACCGUGUUAAGUUUGGUCGUCUUGAUCCUCGUUUGAUCACACAAGAUGUAGAAAACACUGCUGCUAGCAGAAAUCUGUGGCUGGACGUUUCCAUCCGGGGCAGAAAUCUGUGGCUGGACGUUUCCAUUUGAAGCAGAAAUCUGUGGCUGGAAGUUUCCAUUCGAAGCAGAAAUCUGUGGCUGGAAGUUUCCAUUCGAAGCAGAAAUCUGUGGCUGGAAGUUUCCAUCCGGGGCAGAAAUCUGUGGCUGGAAGUUUCCAUCCGGGGCAGAAAUCUGUGGCUGGAAGUUUCCAUCCAGGGCAGAAAUCUGUGGCUGGAAGUUUCCAUUUGAAGCAGAAAUCUGUGGCUGGAAGUUUCCAUCCGGGGCAGAAACAUGUGGCUGGAAGUUUCCAUUCGAAGCAGAAAUAUGUCUCCAAACUGUACUGUGAAGUAUCGUCUCUGAGACCAAGUGGUCUACGGGCUAAGCCAACAUACUGUAUGCUCUAGUAUCAACAUGGGGAAUACACAGUAUAUCUGAGGUGAUUCUUAUCGAAUGGUACAUUAUCCUCUAGCAUUACCCCCCCCUCCCCCUCCCCCUCCUCCCUUUAGAGUGGUAGAAUGAUUCCCAAUCAGAGUUGAAUCACUGAUUAAUUGAUCACCCUGUGUGUCUCUGUACCGCCCUGUAAACAUACCAACAGAACCUGCCUUCUAAAUGGGGUGGACGUGGGGUUGAAGCGUUGGUUUGCGGUAAGAGUAGAGUAACGAUAACGCUGUUCGUUCUUGGCCGAUGUCAUCACACCGGCUUUAACCCGGUACCUGCUUUGGAGGGGAAAAACAAGAACCCUUUUUUAGAGUCUAAAUGAUGUCUUCUAUAAUAUUGACGUAUAUUUGUCCCGGUAUGUACAGUAUAUACCACAGCUAGGCUGCCGUGGAACCAUAAUGUGUAUACGUCUCAAUGAAACUCAGUCACUAUGUUGAGGUAUUCCAGCAGUACAGUUCCCUGCUAACAUUAAUGUACAGUAUAUACCACAGCUAUGCUGCUGUGGAACCAUAAUGUGUAUACGUCUCAAUGAAACUCAGUCACUAUGUUGAGGUAUGUACAGCUCCCUGCUAACAUUAAUGUACAUAAUGCCAGAAAUGUACAGUUGUCCCUGGUCUGGUCUGAUGUGUCUCUCAGCUCCAUCUUACCUUUUUUUUUUUUUUUUA